UGGUUGUUUAAGGUUGCUUUUAG
rnacentral:snRNA from 1 species